ensembl:snoRNA
AACCACUGAUGAAAUCAGAUUCUGCCAAAUGAAUUCCAGUGAUAUUACUCAUUUCCGUUCCACUGUUUCUGAGGUU